AUUGAACGCUGGCGGCAGGCUUAACACAUGCAAGUCGAGCGGGGUGAUGGUGCUUGCACUAUCACUUAGCGGCGGACGGGUGAGUAAUGCUUAGGAAUCUGCCUAUUAGUGGGGGACAACAUCUCGAAAGGGAUGCUAAUACCGCAUACGUCCUACGGGAGAAAGCAGGGGAUCACUUGUGACCUUGCGCUAAUAGAUGAGCCUAAGUCGGAUUAGCUAGUUGGUGGGGUAAAGGCCUACCAAGGCGACGAUCUGUAGCGGGUCUGAGAGGGGGAUCCGCCACACUGGGACUGAGACACGGCCCAGACUCCUACGGGAGGCAGCAGUGGGGAAUAUUGGACAAUGGGGGGAACCCUGAUCCAGCCAUGCCGCGUGUGUGAGGAAGGCCUUAUGGUUGUAAAGCACUUUAAGCGAGGAGGAGGCUCUUUUGGUUAAUACCCAAGAUGAGUGGACGUUACUCGCAGAAUAAGCACCGGCUAACUCUGUGCCAGCCGCCGCGGUAA
rnacentral:rRNA from 1 species